rnacentral:rRNA from 1 species
CUGGCGGCGUGCUUAACACAUGCAAGUCGAACGGUGAACUCGGCUUCGGCCGGGGGAUCAGUGGCGAACGGGUGAGUAACACGUGGGCAACCUGCCCCUGACUUCGGGAUAACUCCGGGAAACCGGGGCUAAUACCGAAUAUGAACCUCGAGCACAUGCUCAGGGUUGGAAAGUUUUUCGGUCAGGGAUGGGCCCGCGGCCUAUCAGCUUGUUGGUGGGGUAACGGCCCACCAAGGCGACGACGGGUAGCCGGCCUGAGAGGGCGACCGGCCACACUGGGACUGAGACACGGCCCAGACUCCUACGGGAGGCAGCAGUGGGGAAUAUUGCGCAAUGGGCGAAAGCCUGACGCAGCGACGCCGCGUGAGGGACGAAGGCCUUCGGGUUGUAAACCUCUUUCAGCAGGGACGAAGCGAAAGUGACGGUACCUGCAGAAGAAGCACCGGCCAACUACGUGCCAGCAGCCGCGGUAAUACGUAGGGUGCAAGCGUUGUCCGGAAUUAUUGGGCGUAAAGAGCUCGUAGGCGGUCUGUCACGUCGGCUGUGAAAGCCCGGGGCUCAACCCCGGGUCUGCACUCGAUACGGGCAGACUUGAGUUCGGCAGGGGAGACUGGAAUUCCUGGUGUAGCGGUGAAAUGCGCAGAUAUCAGGAGGAACACCGGUGGCGAAGGCGGGUCUCUGGGCCGAUACUGACGAUGAGGAGCGAAAGCCUGGGGAGCAAACAGGAUUAGAUACCCUGCAU